UUAAAAGCCGAUUGAUGAGCUCCACAAACCCCUUCAUGGAUUUUUCCUAUUAGAUUCUUUGCUUCUUCAACGCCGAGGCAUUUAAGUAAGACCCCAGCAACCGUCUAAUAAUAAAGGUCAUCUUCAAGCAAGACAUAUUUCAAAGCCUAAAAUUGAACUCGCUUAUCAAGUUUCUUGGAAGGGUCCUUUAAGUAAUCGGCUAUCUCUUUCCUCCAAUCAUUGGCCAUCAACUCUAAGGUCAUAACGCCACAAAUCGGUCGAUAACCACAGGCAUGUUGAGCGAGUUUGUUAGCAUCCUCAUUGUAAUCUCUAGGAAUAUGCUCAAUACUCACACUCUUGAACUCUUCAAGUAACUGAAGGCACCGCUCAUAGUAAAUUCUCAAGAUAUCAUAUUUGCAUUCACAUCCUCUAGUCAGCUGAUUGAUAAUAAGCAUAGAUUUUCCAAAUAUCUCAACAACAUUUGCUUUGAUUUCUCUCAACAAUUGGAUACCUUCAAAAUGGCUCGAUACGCAGCCUGAUUAUUGGUAGCAGAAGCUUCAAUUGGCAGCGAGAAUUCGUAGCUUGCCCUUCAAAUUCUUGGACAAGAGCCGACCCGAUAGCACGCUUAUCGGCUGAUAGGUACAACCUGAACGGCUUGUUAGCUUGUGGAGGAACUAACAUAGGAGGUGACACUAGGUAUUGUUUGAUAUCAUCCAACGCUUUUUGCUACUCUACCCCCCAAACAAACUCCUGAUCGGCUUUCAGUU
rnacentral:lncRNA from 1 species